rnacentral:rRNA from 1 species
UACGUAGGGUGCGAGCGUUGUCCGGAAUUAUUGGGCGUAAAGGGCUCGUAGGCGGUUUGUCGCGUCGGGAGUGAAAACCAGGUGCUUAACACCUGGCUUGCUUUCGAUACGGGCAGACUAGAGGUAUGCAGGGGAGAACGGAAUUCCUGGUGUAGCGGUGAAAUGCGUAGAUAUCGGGAGGAACACCGGUGGCGAAGGCGGUUCUCUGGGCAUGAUCUGACGCUGAGGAGCGAAAGUGUGGGGAGCGAACAGG